GUGCUUGCUUCAGCAGCAUAUAUACUAAAAAUUGGAACUAUACAGAGAAGAUUAGCAUGGCCCCACGCAAGGAUGACACACAAAUUCAUUAAGCAUUCCAUAUUAAA